ACAGGAGCCCCAGCCCCACACAGCAACCACCCGGGCGAGAAAGAAAGAAAGAGCCAGGGAGGCGGGCGAAGCGCGGGGAGAGAAGCAGAGAAGAAAUAUUCACCUUCCCGCCUCAUGCCCACUUUGAGGCACUUCUUGAGGCGGCAGUAUUGGCACUGGUUGCGGUGGUGCUGGUCGAUGGGACAGUUCCUGUUGGCACGGCAUGUACAGGGACUGAGAAACGGAAAUACUACCAUCCUCCAGCCAAUCUGUUGGGAGGACUGCUUGCAGAGGACUCGUGCUCCAGAUGUUGCACUAGAGGCGCUGCAAGUGUGAGCAGCAGGUAGAUGAAACUCAAGAGAAAAGGUGUGGAUAAAUGAAACUAGCCCAUGAUGAACCUGUUUUCUCCGUGACCACAAUAUUAACCAGGAUGAAUGGCGGUGGCAGUGGGCCUGCAUCACAGGUUGCAGCAGAUGUUCUCAAUAUUUCUAUUAAAAUUUCCUUAUUUCCAUAUGCAAGAGGAGCCCCAGAGCUGCAUCCUUAUGGUAGCUACCAUGCCGUGAUGUAAGCUGCCAUUCACUGGGGAGCUUUGGCAAUAGAAUUGGCUAGAUCAGGAAGCCUAUGUCAACUAUGGAACAACAACUUGCAGCUCAUCUCUAUUGAUGAUGGAAUCUCGCUAUGUCACCAGGCUGGAGUGCAGUGGCGCAACCUCGGCUCAGCGCAACAUCCGCCUCCCGGGUUCAAGUGAUUCUCCUACCUCAGCCUCCUGAGUAGCUGGGAUUACAGGUGAAACAGUCGCAAAUGGAAUUCCAAGAAACAUUCUAUGUAAGUCCUGGCUUUGAAAUACUUUGUCAUCCUAAGAAGCUUGGACUUUAUCCUGUCAAAGAAAUGACAAAUCAGAUCAUUCCAGCUGCAGUAUGGAGAAUAGAGUGAAGUGGGGUAACACUGGUUUAGUGGCACAAAUUAAGCAUCUACGUAAGAGAGGAUAAUGACCUGAACUAGGGUUAAAGUAGUGGGGAUGGAGAUAAAUAGAUAGUUUGAGAGAAAUUAAGCAGAUAGAAUGACUAGGACUUGGCAGUUGACUGGAUAUGGUGGGCCUGGUGAAUGAGAGGCAGGAGUCAAGAUUGAUGGUCAGGUUUCUGACUUGGGCAGUGGGUAUAUAGUGAUGCUUGUACGAAGAUUGAGAAAGUAAAAGGGAAAGUAAAUAUCAAGCAGUUUCAAGCAGCAGUCAGCUGCUGGGCUGGCUCACCACACUUCUGUAGAUUCCGUUGAAAAGGAGACAAUGAGCCUAGAUAGAUUUAGACAGUUUAUUACUCAAAGCAAAGUAGGCAGCAUGAUCUUCAUGCAUCUAUGAAUUCCCCAAAUCCCAUGAUACAGAGUGAGGCCCAGACAGAUGCUGUGUACACGGUGGACCUGUGUCCUCCCAAUCUUAUAAGAGGCUACUUGCAAACUUGCCCAAAAUCAUUGUCCUGGAGGUUGACAUUAUCUUUGUUAUGCUGGUCAGGAAACAAAUGUACCCUCUAACCCAGAAGCAUAUCCUGUCUUUACUCAGAGACAAAUAAAAACACCAUGGACAAUUACCUUUCAACAGUAAGAGAAUGCUUUCCAUUUUGGACAUAAUGAAUUUGAAAUGCCCAUGAUAUCUAAAUAAAGGUAUUCAGUAGAUAAUAAGCUGUUUUGAAGGAAUAUUUGGUAUAG
ensembl:lncRNA NR2F1-AS1 NR2F1 antisense RNA 1